CUUAGCUAAUGCUAGACAUUUUCACUUUGCCUUCUUGUAGAUUAUCUCGUUUUUAUUCCAUAUUCUUGUUCUUGUUGUUAUACUGACGUAUUUUUUUAUGUUUUGUUUUUUAUAUACAGUUUUAUUGAGUUUUUAAAAUCUGGUGCUGUGCCAGGCGGGCAACAGGCCUGAGCUUCGAUCCUUCCAGGAACAAGCCCCACCGACACGGACCACCAGUAGCAGUCACGAAUCUUGCCAGUUGAACUAUAAAGUGAAGCAGCCCUGACGUUUGCUCCACACAGACGGACGAAACAGCACGUAGCUUCUCAUGCUGAGUGCCACUGUGUGAAUGAUGUCUACAGCCGUCCGCAGCCAUGUCGAACGUAGCCACGCACAGCUAGAAACACAAGGUAUUUGCCUCGAUACCAGGGAGGUCUCAGUUCUGCGCCGCACCAUUGUGUCAGCGAAGAGCGCCACUUUCUCAGCCUUCCGAGCAGCCUCGUCAGCUUCUCAGACAAUGUCUGUGGCAUUCUUCAUCGGCUGUGUGCAGAUUCUGUGCGUGGGCAGCGCGAUACAAGGCUAUACUGUGAGUGAGUUCAUAUUUGUGAAGCUCAUAGUCCGUGUCUCCAUUUUCUAUAAUCCCAUCCUGUAUUCUAUCAAUGCACAAUCGUGAUUGGCUGAGGAUGAACAGAUGCACUAGAGCAGAGGUUUUCAAACUGUGAGGGACGAGGGUGAGUUGAAGGGGGGGGGGUGAAGAGACGUUAGGCAAAGA